UCAGCAGAAGUGGAGAAACGGGGGUGGGAGAGAAUGUAAGAUGAAAAAACCUUGUGGGUCAAGACACGCACAGAAGCCAAGGAAGACAAAAGAUGUUAUUCUCUACUCCCCAUCAGCAGGCAAUGUUCGGCCACUUCCCAGGAAGAAGGACUUCAGUACACAUAGCAGUGUCUCCGGAAGACAAACAUCAUAAAUAACAAAUGCCCCCCCCUUCCUCCUCCUUUCUCUUAGCUUUUACUGCUGAGCAGACGUCGAAUGCUAUGGAACAUCCCCUUGGUCAAUUUGGGCCAGCUGCCCUGGCUGUGUCCCCUCCCAAGACCUUGCCCACCCCCAGCCUACUGGUGAGCAGCCCUGAUGCUGUGUGAGCGCUGCUCAGCAGCAGCCAGACCCUGGUGUGUCACCACCACCGUCCCAGCUACCGACACAAGCACAGCACUACGGGGGCUGCUGUGGGGCUCAGCCAGACCCAAUGCAGCAGCUUUUACUAGCAAUGAUUUUAUACCACAGGGUACAACACAAAGUAUUGUUCACGAGAAUGCCACAGGAAAGAUCACUGCCUUUUACAGCAGCUUACCAGGCAUCCUGAAGCAACUUUUUACUGCAUCAGGCCAGAGACAACUCUAUUAGCACAAAGGAUGUUCCAGAAAUGAGUGAAGCCCUCUAGAGCGAACAGCAGGGGCUUUUCUGGUGAACACAGGGUGGAGAGGACACAGCCUUCCCCCCAGAGAGCCAGCCAACACUGCAAUAGCUUCCCCUCCCAGUUCUGCAUCAGCCAUGUGGUAGGUGGCAAGUCUUAAGUUUUAACUUCUUAAAAUCUUGCUUGCUGAGUGCUCAGUUUGAUUUUUGUGAUUUGUGCCAACAUUUUCCUCUCUUUCCCAGCUUCUGGCUGCUGUGUGGAUGUCUCCUUAUGCUUCUCUUUCCCCAGCUUUCCAUCUCUGGAGGGAGGUGAGAGGUCUCCUCAAUUAUUUUUCUCUCGUGCAGGCCUCACAAAGAGAGUGAUUCAUUGCUGUAUUCGUGGAUUGUUGCUUGGAAUGGUGCAGGCCAGAAAACACCUCUACUUGGAGAUUCAAACUUAGGAGUUUCUGCACUCCUUAUCAUUCUAAUUCCUGGCAAAAGACCCUGAAUUGCAUGUUUUCAAUCCACAUAAACUUUAGAUGCUACUAGAUGACAUAAUUUAUAUAACCAAUGACUUUCUGACAUGGAUUUGGUCUGAUCAGAAUGAUAAAAAACUUUUCAGAUAAAACCUGACUCUUCUCAUUUCAAUAAACGCUCAUCCAAUUUCUCCUUGCAGUUAGAACUUUGCUGUAUUUCCUUAACAAUGGAGCUGAAAAACAUAAAGGACAAUGUAAAUGUACUGUUACCUUGUCCAUGAGCUUAUUGUGCAACCGCUAACCACUUCAAUCGUAACCAAAAUCCCAUGUAUCAAAGCCUGAACAUUCCUAAGUAGAUCUUUUCAUCCUAGCUGCUAAAUUACUCCUAUGGUCCUCCAGUCACAUCACCUACGUCAGUGCCAUGGGAACUGCAGUUUCUCAAUAAUUUCAUGCUUGCCUUUUUUCCUGGAAUCAUUGUCAAAGAAAAAGUUAGAAAUAGUAAAAAUACCAGGAUCGUAAAAAUGGCACUGCAAGACAAAUUUGAGAAAACCUGGAGGUUUUAAUCUCUCUGCCCAAUUGCUUCAGCCUAACUUAGGAUCAAAACCAGCUUUGUGUUUAAUACGAAGUCUUAAAGUUUGUCUAUGUUAUUUC